GGAUCAGUGGCGAACGGGUGAGUAACACGUGAGUAACCUGCCCCGGACUCUGGAAUAAGCGCUGGAAACGGCGUCUAAUACCGGAUACGAGACGCAACCGCAUGGUUAGCGUCUGGAAAGUUUUUCGGUCUGGGAUGGACUCGCGGCCUAUCAGCUUGUUGGUGAGGUAAUGGCUCACCAAGGCGACGACGGGUAGCCGGCCUGAGAGGGCGACCGGCCACACUGGGACUGAGACACGGCCCAGACUCCUACGGGAGGCAGCAGUGGGGAAUAUUGCACAAUGGGCGAAAGCCUGAUGCAGCGACGCCGCGUGAGGGAUGACGGCCUUCGGGUUGUAAACCUCUUUCAGCAGGGAAGAAGCGAAAGUGACGGUACCUGCAGAAGAAGCACCGGCUAACUACGUGCCAGCAGCCGCGGUAAUACGUAGGGUGCGAGCGUUGUCCGGAAUUAUUGGGCGUAAAGAGCUUGUAGGCGGUUUGUCGCGUCUGCUGUGAAAAUCCGGGGCUCAACCCCGGACUUGCAGUGGGUACGGGCAGACUAGAGUGUGGUAGGGGAGACUGGAAUUCCUGGUGUAGCGGUGAAAUGCGCAGAUAUCAGGAGGAACACCGAUGGCGAAGGCAGGUCUCUGGGCCACUACUGACGCUGAGAAGCGAAAGCAUGGGGAGCGAACAGGAUUAGAUACCCUGGUAGUCCAUGCCGUAAACGUUGGGCGCUAGGUGUGGGACUCAUUCCACGAGUUCCGUGCCGCAGCUAACGCAUUAAGCGCCCCGCCUG
rnacentral:rRNA from 1 species